GUCCACACCGUAACGAUGAUUACUAGGUGUUGGAGGAUUGACCCCUUCAGUGCCGCAGUUAACACAAUAAGUAAUCCACCUGGGGAGUACGACCGCAAGGUUGAAACUCAAAGGAAUUGACGGGGCCCGCACAAGCAGUGGAGUAUGUGGUUUAAUUCGACGCAACGCGAAGAACCUUACCAAGUCUUGACAUCCCUUGACGAUGCUGGAAACAGUAUUUCUCUUCGGAGCAAGGAGACAGGUGGUGCAUGGUUGUCGU
rnacentral:rRNA from 1 species